rnacentral:lncRNA from 1 species
GAAAACCUGCACCACAUAGUGAAGGCAAGUGACGAAAUUCAAUCACAAACGUUGAUGCCCUACACGGAUCCAACGGUGCCACCUAAAAUUCCGCUGCUCCCACAUGCAGACGCAGUGGCAAAUUUACACCUCCCACCCAAGGCAUUAGAGCACACCAACAUCUCAAAGGAGGAACCAAACAUUGGGUCUAAAAGUGGGAGGCCCGUCAGUGAAAACACAAGAAGUACCCAUACGACGUCAACUCUCCAACCCAACCUUGAGG